GACAGAGGGUGCAAACGUUGUUCGGAAUUACUGGGCGUAAAGGGCGCGUAGGCGGCCUUCUAAGUCAGACGUGAAAUCCCUCGGCUCAACCGAGGAACUGCGUCUGAUACUGGAAGGCUUGAAUCCGGGAGAGGGAUGUGGAAUUCCAGGUGUAGCGGUGAAAUGCGUAGAUAUCUGGAGGAACACCGGUGGCGAAGGCGGCAUCCUGGACCGGUAUUGACGCUGAGGCGCGAAAGCUAGGGGAGCAAACGGG
rnacentral:rRNA from 1 species